rnacentral:rRNA from 1 species
GGUUGACCUCGGAUCAGGUAGGGAUACCCGCUGAACUUAAGCAUAUCAAUAAGCGGAGGAAAAGAAACCAACAGGGAUUACCUCAGUAACGGCGAGUGAAGCGGUAAUAGCUCAAAUUUGAAAUCUGGUUCCUUGGGGAGC